rnacentral:lncRNA from 1 species
ACCUGGUGGGCUGGGGCCUGGCACACAGUAGGUACCCAAUCAAUGCAGGGUCUGUUUAGAGGGGAGGGGCGCCAAGACGCUCAGGGCGCAGCUCUGUGGGCAUCCUGCUCGGGCAGGGUUUCUCCCGGAUCAGGCUUGGAGACGUGGGUCUGUGCGAGCCUCAGAACCCAGACAGACAGACGCUGUUGCAUGGAGCAGGAUGGUGCCUGCACACAGCCAGGCUGGGAUCCAGCCCUGCGCCCAGGAGCCUGCCCCGUGCACAGUGACGGUGGAGCAGGCCAGGAAUCACCUGGAACCAACUGCUUAGACGCACAGCAGCGUGGAAGAUGGCUCUGGCAGCCAGUGAUUACUGAUGUCUGUCCGGGCGGGUGAAGGGGCCGGAAGUGCUCGUGUGCCACCCCGCCCUACACCAGGCUGGUGUGGCUAGGACAGCUUGUGGAGGCCCCUUGAC